UUGGUGGUGCUGUCGCUUUCUCCAGUCAAGGGAACCAUCAAAGUCCGAAACAGCUACAGUUGGAGGGAUGGGAGACCUCAAUUGCCAGAGUUCUACAACCACAGUCACAGCCACAGCUCCAAUCCCAGCCCCGGCGCACUCGACCACGGAUCCGCAGAGGUUUGACACCCUGGCAGCUGAGCAAACUGGAGAGUGUUUUUCAAGAAGCUCAGUACCCUGAUGUGAUCACAAAGAAGAACCUUGCGAAGUGCCUGUAUUUGGGAGAAUCUGAAGUGCACCGUUGGUUUAAGAUAAGAAGAGCCAAGUAUAGGAAAAAUCAGUGCCUACAUACGUUCAGUUGUACCCCUGAUGGUACCCAAAGUACCUUUCCCUANAGUUUUUGGAGAAGCCCUGGAGUGCCAUCCUAGUCCAGGAGCAACCUAACCCCUUUCAGCAGUGAAGAUCCGAGUAUUAGGAAACAGGGGAAAAAGUUGUUAGUUCAAGGCCAGCCAUAGCUACAUAUGGAGACCCUGACUUAAAAACAAACAAACAAACAAAACAAAAAA
rnacentral:lncRNA from 1 species